UACGUAGGGUGCGAACGUUGUCCGGAAUUAUUGGGCGUAAAGAGCUUGUAGGCGGUUUGUCGCGUCUGCCGUGAAAUUUCGAGGCUCAACCUCGAACUUGCGGUGGGUACGGGCAGACUAGAGUGUGGUAGGGGAGACUGGAAUUCCUGGUGUAGCGGUGAAAUGCGCAGAUAUCAGGAGGAACACCGAUGGCGAAGGCAGGUCUCUGGGCCACUACUGACGCUGAGAAGCGAAAGCAUGGGGAGCGAACAGG
rnacentral:rRNA from 1 species